CCUUACGAUCCCUGUAGUUAAGCAAUGUCGAGCCUGGUCAGUACUUAGAUGGAUGAUCACUUAGGAAUACCAGGUGCUGUAAG